rnacentral:rRNA from 1 species
CCUACGGGAGGCAGCAGUGAGGAAUAUUGGUCAAUGGACGCGAGCCUGAACCAGCCAAGUAGCGUGAAGGAUGACUGCCCUACGGGUUGUAAACUUCUUUUAUAAGGGAAUAAAGUGUUGCACGUGUCCCCUUUUGUAUGUACCUUAUGAAUAAGCAUCGGCUAACUCCGUGCCAGCAGCCGCGGUAAUACGGAGGAUCCGAGCGUUAUCCGGAUUUAUUGGGUUUAAAGGGAGCGUGGGGGGGGUGUUAAGUCAGUUGUGAAAGUUUGCGGCGCAACCGUAAAAGUGCAGUUGAAACUGGCAGUCUUGAGUACAGUAGAGGUAGGCGGAAUGCGCGGUGUAGCGGUGAAAUGCAUAGAUAUCGCGAAGAACUCCGAUUGCGAAGGCAG